CGACUGUUUAACAAAAACACAGGUCUCUGCAAAUUUGCAAAAAGAUGUAUAGAGACUGACGCCUGCCCAGUGCUGUAAGAUUAAAGGAGAAAGUUUUGGCUUGAACCUGAACUCCCAGUAAACGGCGGCUGUAACUCUGACGGUCCAAAGGUAGCGAAAUUCCUUGGCAUUUAAUUGGUGUCCUGCACGAAUGGCGUAACGACUGUUCUACUGUCUCCAAUACAAACUCAGUGAAAUUGAAUUCUCCGUGAAGAUGCGGAG
rnacentral:rRNA from 11 species